rnacentral:rRNA from 1 species
AUUGAACGCUGGCGGCAGGCCUAACACAUGCAAGUCGAACGGUAACAGGAAGCAGCUUGCUGCUUUGCUGACGAGUGGCGGACGGGUGAGUAAUGUCUGUGAAACUGCACGUUGGAGGGGGGUAACUACUGGAAACGGUAGCUCAUACCGCAUAACGUCGCAAGACCAAAGAGGGGGACCUUAGGGCCUCUUGCCAUCGGAUGUGACCAGAUGGGAUUAGCUAGUAGGUGGGGUAACGGCUCACCUAGGCGACGAUCCCUAGCUGGUCUGAGAGGAUGACCAGCCACACUGGAACUGAGACACGGUCCAGACUCCUACGGGAGGCAGCAGUGGGGAAUAUUGGACAAUGGGCGCAAGCCUGAUGCAGCCAUGCCGCGUGGAUGAAGAAGGCCUUCGGGUUGUAAAGUACUUUCGUCGGGGAGGAAGGGAGGAAAGUUAAUACCUUGCCGCAUUGACGUUACCCACAGAAGAAGCACCGGCUAACUCCGUG